GCGGCUCCAUCGGAAGCUGGCUGUCGUUCACUUCUUCCAUCACCGCAGUGCUGCAGAUGGCAAAAAUCUUCGUGUCAGGCAGACAGAUCGAGCGCCAAGAUAGAAAACCAGAACCUGUCGAUUAAGCACUUUCGACGGGGGGCAGCACGCAGAUGAGAUAUUUCGUCUUACCUCCUAAUCGGUUUGCUGCAAGAACACCAUCCCGACAAAGCGCCGCCUGGUUUCGCUCCACCGCAGAUCUGCACAGGCGACAAUGGCGAUUCAACAGUCCUUAUCCAGAGGUGGGAGGCAGCUCCGCCUUGUUAUUUACUUCCGCCUAUACCGCUGCCUGCCGGAAAGCAGGGUUCCUGAGCCACCGAUCAGGGACACAGAACCAUCCCG
rnacentral:lncRNA from 1 species